AGUGAACGCUGGCGGUAGGCCUAACACAUGCAAGUCGAACGGCAGCACAGUAAGAGCUUGCUCUUACGGGUGGCGAGUGGCGGACGGGUGAGGAAUACGUCGGAAUCUACUUUUUCGUGGGGGAUAACGUAGGGAAACUUACGCUAAUACCGCAUACGACCUACGGGUGAAAGCAGGGGAUCUUCGGACCUUGCGCGAUUGAAUGAGCCGAUGUCGGAUUAGCUAGUUGGCGGGGUAAAGGCCCACCAAGGCGACGAUCCGUAGCUGGUCUGAGAGGAUGAUCAGCCACACUGGAACUGAGACACGGUCCAGACUCCUACGGGAGGCAGCAGUGGGGAAUAUUGGACAAUGGGCGCAAGCCUGAUCCAGCCAUACCGCGUGGGUGAAGAAGGCCUUCGGGUUGUAAAGCCCUUUUGUUGGGAAAGAAAAGCAGCAGGUUAAUACCCCGCUGUUCUGACGGUACCCAAAGAAUAAGCACCGGCUAACUUCGU
rnacentral:rRNA from 1 species